ACACACUCUCAAAACACACAAGAUCCUAAAAAAUCAGUCACAGACUGCUGCUCUUUGUGCAAGAGGGUACUCUGUGAGAACGAUAAAGCUCUUAGUGGAUAUCAUUUCCCCGCAACAACAGUUGGUAUCCGCAACUCUCGUUAGCCACUAUAAUUUACACAAAGUCCACUAACUUCUUCAGUUUCGUGGAUUUAUCACAGAUUCGUGUAUUCU
ensembl:ncRNA R31.5 ncRNA